GUGCUCACUUCAGCAGCACAUAUACUAAAAUUGGAACAAUACAGAAGAUUAGCAUGGCCCUUGCCUAAGGAUGACACACAAAUUCAUGAAGUUUUCCAUAUUUUU
ensembl:snRNA U6 U6 spliceosomal RNA